rnacentral:rRNA from 1 species
AGAGCAAACGCUGGCGGCAGGCCUAACACAUGCAAGUCGAACGGACCCUUCGGGGUUAGUGGCGGACGGGUGAGUAACACGUGGGAACGUGCCUUUUGGUUCGGAAUAGCUCCUGGAAACGGGUGGUAAUGCCGAAUGUGCCCUUCGGGGGAAAGAUUUAUCGCCAUUAGAGCGGCCCGCGUCUGAUUAGCUAGUUGGUGAGGUAAUGGCUCACCAAGGCGACGAUCAGUAGCUGGUCUGAGAGGAUGACCAGCCACAUUGGGACUGAGACACGGCCCAAACUCCUACGGGAGGCAGCAGUGGGGAAUCUUGCGCAAUGGGCGAAAGCCUGACGCAGCCAUGCCGCGUGAAUGAUGAAGGUCUUAGGAUUGUAAAAUUCUUUCACCGGGGACGAUAAUGACGGUACCCGGAGAAGAAGCCCGGCUAACUCGUGCCAGCAGCCGC